rnacentral:rRNA from 1 species
CAAUAGCGUAUAUUAAAGUUGUUGCGGUUAAAAAGCUCGUAGUUGGAUUUCUGUUGAAAGCGGCCGGUCCCUACUCCGUAGGCGUAUCUGGUUCGCUUUUAGUCAUCCUUGCAGGGAACGUCGCUGCCCUUCAUUGAGUGGCACGGUAUCUGCAACUUUUACUUUGAGGAAAUUAAGAGUGUUUACGGUCAGGCAGUCGCCUUGAAUAUAUUAGCAUGGAAUAAUAAUAUAGGACCUUGGUUCUAUUUUGUUUGGUUUUCUUAGAGCUGAGGUAAUGAUUAAUAGGGAGUAUUUGGGGGUAGUUUGUAUUACACGGUCAGAGGUGGAAUUCUUGGAUUCGUGUACGACAAACUACUGCGAAAGCAUUUAUUCAAGGAAUGUUUUCUAUUGAUCAAGAACGAAAAGUGUGGGGAGUCGAAGAUGAUCAGAUACCAU